AAUAGAUACCCGGGUAGUCCACGCCGUAAACGAUGGAUGCUAGCUGGUAGGGGGUAUCGACCCCGUUCUGUAGCGAAGCUAACGCGUUAAGCAUCCCGCCUGUGGAGUACGGCCGCAAGGCUAAAACAUAAAGGAAUUGACGGGGACCCGCACAAGCGGUGGAUCGUGUUCUUUAAUUCGAUGAUAAACGGAGAACCUUACCAGGGCUUGACAUCCUUGGAAUUUCUGCGAAAGCAGUUAGUGCCUUUUGGAACCAAGUGACAGGUGAUGCAUGGCCGUCGUCAGCUCGUGUCGUGAGAUGUUUGGUUAAGUCCAUCAACGAGCGCAACCCUUAUGUUUAGUUGUUAUUUUUCUAAACAGACUGCCCCGGUAACGGGGAGGAAGGAGGGGAUGAUGUCAGGUCAGUAUUUCCCUUACGUCCUGGGCUAGAAACACGAUACAAUGGCUAGUACAAUGCGCAGCGAAGCCGCGAGGUGGAGCAAAUCGCACCAAAGCUAGUCCCAGUUCGGAUUGGAGGCUGAAACUCGCCUCCAUGAAGUCGGAAUCGCU
rnacentral:rRNA from 1 species